GGCUCAGGAUGAACGCUAGCUACAGGCUUAACACAUGCAAGUCGAGGGGCAGCAUGGUCGAAGCUUGCUUCGACUGAUGGCGACCGGCGCACGGGUGCGUAACGCGUAUCGAACCUGCCCUAUACACGGGGAUAACCUUGCGAAAGUAAGACUAAUACCCGAUGACGUCUCUAGAAGACAUCUGAAAGAGAUUAAAGAUUUAUCGGUGAUGGAUGGGGAUGCGUCUGAUUAGCUUGUUGGCGGGGUAACGGCCCACCAAGGCGACGAUCAGUAGGGGUUCUGAGAGGAAGGUCCCCCACAUUGGAACUGAGACACGGUCCAAACUCCUACGGGAGGCAGCAGUGAGGAAUAUUGGUCAAUGGGCGAGAGCCUGAACCAGCCAAGUAGCGUGCAGGACGACGGCCCUAUGGGUUGUAAACUGCUUUUAUAAGGGAAUAAAGUGAGUCUCGUGAGACUUUUUGCAUGUACCUUAUGAAUAAGGACCGGCUAAUUCCGUG
rnacentral:rRNA from 1 species